GACGUAGGUGGCGAACGUUAUCCGGAAUUAUUGGGCGUAAAGCGCGCGCAGGUGGUUCCUUAAGUCUGAUGUGAAAGCCCACGGCUCAACCGUGGAGGGUCAUUGGAAACUGGGGAACUUGAGUGCAGAAGAGGAAAGUGGAAUUCCAAGUGUAGCGGUGAAAUGCGUAGAGAUUUGGAGGAACACCAGUGGCGAAGGCGACUUUCUGGUCUGUAACUGACACUGAGGCGCGAAAGCGUGGGGAGCAAACAGG
rnacentral:rRNA from 1 species